rnacentral:rRNA from 1 species
AUUGAACGCUGGCGGCAUGCCUUACACAUGCAAGUCGAACGGUAACAGGUCUUCGGAUGCUGACGAGUGGCGAACGGGUGAGUAAUACAUCGGAACGUGCCCGAUCGUGGGGGAUAACGAGGCGAAAGCUUUGCUAAUACCGCAUACGAUCUACGGAUGAAAGCGGGGGAUCUUCGGACCUCGCGCGGGCGGAGCGGCCGAUGGCAGAGUAGGUAGUUGGUGGGAUAAAAGCUUACCAAGCCGACGAUCUGUAGCUGGUCUGAGAGGAUGAUCAGCCACACUGGGACUGAGACACGGCCCAGACUCCUACGGGAGGCAGCAGUGGGGAAUUUUGGACAAUGGGCGAAAGCCUGAUCCAGCCAUGCCGCGUGCAGGAUGAAGGCCUUCGGGUUGUAAACUGCUUUUGUACGGAACGAAAAGCCUCUUUCUAAUAAAGAGGGGUCAUGACGGUACCGUAAGAAUAAGCACCGGCUAACUACGUG